rnacentral:rRNA from 1 species
AUGCGAUUGCUGGUGUGAAUUGCAGAAUUCAGUGAAUCAUCGAAUCUUUGAACGCACCUUGCGCCCUUUGGUAUUCCGAGGGGCAUGCCUGUUUGAGUGUCAUUAAAUACCAUCAACCCUCUUUUGACUUCGGUCUCGAGAGUGGCUUGGAAGUGGAGGUCUGCUGGAGCCUAACGGAGCCAGCUCCUCUUAAAUGUAUUAGCGGAUUUCCCUUGCGGGAUCGCGUCUCCGAUGUGAUAAUUUCUACGUCGUUGACCAUCUCGGGGCUGACCUAGUCAGUUUCAAUAGGAGUCUGCUUCUAACCGUCUCUUGACUGAGACUAGCGACUUGUGCGCUAACUUUUGACUUGUCCUAUAAAUCUGGUAGGACUGCGCGCUGAACUUAAGCAUAUCAAAAGGCGGGAGGAA